UCGGCGGUGUCAAAGGUUCGGACAGGAGGUGGCGGGCCUCGGCUAUGGUGGCGGCGCCGGUGGGGGCAGCGGCCGGGACGAACAAGACAGUGAGAGUAGCGAGCGGGGCAGCAGGCAGGCAGGCUCGAUUCGCCUGAAUACCGAGCCAGUGGAGCCACAGUAGUGUCGCCCAGACUCUCACCGAGUAAGGGUGUAGUGCGCAUCAUCUCUCUGCCCGCGUAGAGGCCGCGCUGCCACCUGGCAUUGCACGCCCAGGAGAGGUAAAGGUGUGAGGGUGACGCCGCCCUCCGAGGCCCCGCGAGCCCCUCGUGUGGCAGGCUCUUGAUCCGUCGCGUAGGUCAUCGUGAACCCGAUCUUGUUGACCACACAUGACCGUUGCUCUUGUUAGCGUUACGUCACUUUCAUGGCAAUCGCUGGGAGGUAGUUUUCGCAACCCAGUGUGGUGUGUCUUGACGGCCCCGCCAGCCUUGGUGUGUGAGGGGCGCGGGGCGGCGGGGCGCCAGUGUCGAGGAGCAGCUCGCGUGUGCCCCGUCAUGAGGCCACAGCAGUGAGGGGCGGCCCGAGGGACAUGCCCGAGCCAGCCACGCCGUGGACCGCACACGCCCCCCACUGAACACUUGAUGGAAGACACCCUCACCCACGCCCACGCCCACCCUGCACCGACCCCCGUCCCCGUCAUGUGGGGCGUCGAGUGAUGGGCGGCGGUGUGGGCGGGUCAGCCGAGUAGCUACCAAGUCGGACGCGGCGGCUGCAGCUCAAGGGCGCCUCCCUGCCCUGGGUUUCGGCUUGCCCGGCACCGCCCACCCAGGGGCCGAGGCUGACAGCUGCCACGCUCCAUUAAGGUACGGAGGUGUGGAGCGGGUGCCUGCUGCCCCGUGUCUGGGAGGGUCUGGCGGCACGCAAUGACCGUAAAUUGCUGUGUGACUCUGCAGGUGUCCCAGCCGCGUCAAGGGAAAGGUAA